rnacentral:rRNA from 1 species
UACAGAGGUCCCUAGCGUUGUUCGGAUUUACUGGCGUAGAGGGCGCGUAGGCGGCCAGGCAAGUCUAGUGUGAAAUCUCCGGGCUCAACCCGGAACGUGCGCUUGAGACUGCCCGGCUCGAGGCCGGGAGAGGGAAUCGGAAUGCAGGGUGUAGCGGUGAAAUGCGUUGAUAUCCUGCAGAACACCGGAGGCGAAGGCGGAUUCCUUGGACGGCACUGACGCUGAGGCGCGAAAGUCGGGGGAGCAAACA